GCAUGAAAUUCGUGGGAUUUUAUCACCUAUCACUUCACAUGUUGUUUCUCACUGUUUUAAAGUGUUUUUAGUGUGUUUUGAUGUGUUUUAGUGUUAUAUAACAGAAAAUCCUAGAAAAAUUCGAAAAAGUUUGAAAAAUACCAAAAAGAGUCGUUUUUGAGUCAUUUUUGUGUUUUAGGGUACCUUCCAACACAAUGAUGAGGAUUUGGUUUUUAAUUGCAUAACUGUUGAAGUAAGUUACAAACAUGGAUGAAAGUUUGAUAUGCUCUUUGGUUUAUGCUUAGUUGUAAUUAUAGUUCAUGAAUUCACAUGUAAUCAAAAGAAAAAUUAGUUUUUGUAACAUGCUUGAAGGAAGAAACUCAAACUAACGCUACAACCCUGAGAGACUUGAGCUUUUAACGUUCUUUGGAGAGUUAAUAAUCUGUGCAUUUGUUGUCUUCUAAAGUCGUUGCAUGAUCUCAUUAUUCUUUGCUUGGUUACUACUUAGAAGGCGUUUCAUCAUUUAGUUCCAAAUACUAGAACUCAUGCCCGUUUCAUUCAAAGCAUAAAAUUGAUUAGCAUAACACAUAACAAGAUGAAGUUGUUAGUGAACCAAGAGCCAAAUAGCCGUACCCCAUGUUCAUUUGUUUUGUAGGUUUAAGCCCCGUUGAGCCUUGUUUAGCCUAUGUUCUUUGUUAACCCACGUUAUCCUUACCUAGCCUAGAAUAGGACCACCAUGCCUUUGUUCUUAAAGCAUAGUGAACAUGACUUAGAAUGAAUUCCUUUUUAUUAUUCUUGUGCAGAAAAACAAGUGUGGGGGAAGGGAUUUAUGUGUGGGAAUUUGUGCCAAAAACAAGAAUUGGGCACGAGAAAAGAAAAAAAAUGUGAAAAGAAUGAAAAAGAGGUCAAAAUAAGUAAGAAAGAACUCACAAGUGUUGGUUGUUGAAGAAAGGGUCCAAAAAGUUAAAUUAGACCCUAAGUAUUGUGUAUUUCAUCCCCUUGUGUGUCUAAGUGAUUUUCUGCACGCAAAAGUGAAUUCUAAGUGUCAAGUUCAUUACUUGUUUGCUAUCGCUUUAAAAACUUUUGUUUAUCCUUAACCUUUCUUUGUUAGCCAAUACCCCUUAGCCCUGUUACAAUCCUUAACUUCUAUCUUGAGUGUUAUGUAUUUCAAUAUGUGGAGUUUGGGAUUGGUUUGAGCAUAUGGUGUCCCUGGUUCUCGCAUCUAAGUAGUAGCAUUCCAUUCAUGAGAUCAUAUCUAUAAAUGCUUAAUCAUUCCAGAAAAGUGCUUCUUUUGUUAUAACAUGUGUGAGUGUUCGUUUUCAUGUUUACAUCAAUCUUCUCACUUAUACUUAGUAUAGGGAGUGUAGUUAGAAAAUCUGUGUGAAAAUAAGAGUGUAUCCAGUAAGGAAUUGAGUGGAUUCUCUAAGGCAUGUUACUACGUCCAUAAUGUUGUUUUAAACGAUUAAAUGUGAGCUAGUGAAUGGUAACGAUGAUUAAGUAUAUGCUCAAGAGUAGGGAUGACUAAAAUCUGUGGGAAUAAUGAUCUUUGGCAUGUUAUGUAUCGUUGGAAAUCCCUGAAGCAAAUGUUGGAAGGUUAGGUUAUGUUUUGUUUGUUUUGUUUUGCUCGAGGACUAGCAAAAGCUAAGUGUGGGGGAAAUUGAUAGGAGCAUAUUUAUACGACUUAGUUAGCUUGUUUUCUUGCAUUUAAUUAGCUAAACUAUGUUAAUUAUAGUGUUUAAAGUUAUUUUCGUGCAAUUUCAGGUUUUAGUGUCAAAGUAUGCAAAAAGAAGCAAUUUGGAGCAUUCUAGAGCAUUUUUGGGCCAAGAUUGGAUAGUGCAAGCAUGGAGGCAUAAGGAUGGACGAAUUUGAAAGGCUUGAAUUCAGUUAGGGAGCUGCAAGGGGGCCUAAAAACCUGAUUUCUAGAAGGCUACAUUAGUGCCACAUGUUUUUAGACCUUGUUCUUCUAGAAAUCAGCCAUAUAAGCAUUCCUUCUAGAAGGCUUUAUCUAUUCACACAUGGUGCCUAAUUUCUGCCUAAUUUCUGGUACAAAACCUUAUUUCUAGAAGGCUUUAUCUAUUCACACAUGGUGCCUAAUUUCGGGUACAAAACCUUUUGGUUUCAACUAAGUUCUAAACCUUUCCUAGCCCUAUAAAUAAGGCUUUGCAGCAAGGCACUAAGGGGGAUCACUCAUUCACCCAAUUUUCGUCCAUUCAUCCAGCCACACCACUCUACACAUCCUAAAAUCCUAGAAACACAAUUCCAGCCACUUUUACCACCUUUGCCGUAACCUUCCAUCCAAG
rnacentral:lncRNA from 1 species